GAGAGUAUAGCUCAGUGGUAGAGUGUGUGCUAAGCAUGCAAGAAGUCCAGGGUUCAAUUCCCAGUACCUCCA
rnacentral:tRNA from 1 species